GCACCGCUGAGGAGUCCCAUACUAGGACGAAACGACCGCCCGGUGC
rnacentral:hammerhead_ribozyme from 1 species